UGGGCGUUAAGUUGCAGGGUAUAGACCCGAAACCCGGUGAUCUAGCCAUGGGCAGGUUGAAGGUUGGGUAACACUAACUGGAGGACCGAACCGACUAAUGUUGAAAAAUUAGCGGAUGACCUGUGGCUGGGGGUGAAAGGCCAAUCAAACCGGGAGAUAGCUGGUUCUCCCCGAAAGCUAUUUAGGUAGCGCCUCGUGAAUUCAUCUCCGGGGGUAGAGCACUGUUUCGGCUAGGGGGCCAUCCCGGCUUACCAACCCGAUGCAAACUGCGAAUACCGGAGAAUGUUAUCACGGGAGACACACGGCGGGUGCUAACGUCCGUCGUGAAGAGGGAAACAACCCAGACCGCCAGCUAAGGUCCCAAAGUCAUGGUUAAGUGGGAAACGAUGUGGGAAGGCCCAGACAGCCAGGAUGUUGGCUUAGAAGCAGCCAUCAUUUAAAGAAAGCGUAAUAGCUCACUGGUCGAGUCGGCCUGCGCGGAAGAUGUAACGGGGCUAAACCAUG
rnacentral:rRNA from 12 species